rnacentral:lncRNA from 1 species
AUUUAAAAGGAUGUUAUUCCCUUCACAAGGUGCUGUUCAGCCUGGGGAACACUUGAAGGCGAGGCCAAAUCAUCUUUCCACACUGCAUAAGAGGAGCCAAAGAAUAUACAGUUUAUAGAAAUCUCCAGAACUGCUUCAGGUAACAUCAACAUGAACCAGGCUUUGAAGAUAAAGAAAUGAAAACUGAAAAACCACGGACUUGUAAAAUGUGGGUCACUCCAUAACCAAAAGGAAUAUUAAAACCAAAGCCACACCAAGGACUCACCUAUCUUUUCCACAACUGAACUGUGUAGGAAUCGAGGCAAUAAAAAAGAAAACCUGAGCUUCUCUGUUCUACUG